AUGACUUAUUAUAAGUAUGAAGGUUCAGGAAGCGACACUGUUGUUAUCAGGGGCCCUUCCUCGGAUGUGGAGAAGGCCAAGAAGCAGCUCUUGCAUCUGGCGGAAGAGAAGCAAACCAAGAGUUUCACUGUUGACAUCCGCGCCAAGCCAGAAUACCACAGAUUCCUCAUCGGCAAGGGGGGCGGCAAAAUUCGCAAGGUGCGUGACAGCACGGGAGCGCGCAUCAUCUUCCCUGCGGCCGAGGACAAGGACCAGGACCUGAUCACCAUCAUCGGAAAGGAGGACGCCGUCCGGGAAGCGCAGAAGGAACUGGAGGCCUUGAUCCAAAACCUGGAUAAUGUGGUGGAAGACUGCCUGCUGGUGGACCCCAGGCACCACCGCCACUUCGUCAUCCGAAGGGGCCAGGUCUUGCGGGAGAUCGCUGAAGAGUAUGGCGGCGUGACGGUCAGCUUCCCACGCUCCGGCACACAGAGGGACAAAGUCACCCUCAAGGGCGCCAAGAAGCGCAUUCAGGAGAUCAUUGAGGACCUGGAAGCUCAGGUGACAUUAGAAUGUGCUAUACCCCAGAAAUUCCAUCGAUCUGUCAUGGGCCCCAGAGGUUCCAGAAUCCAGCAGAUUACUCGGGAUUUCAAUGUUCAGAUUAAAUUCCCAGACAGAGAGGAGAACCCAGUUCACAGUAUAGAGCCAGUUGUCCAGGAGAACGGGGACGAAGCUGGGGAGGGGAGAGAGGCCAAAGACGCUGAUCCUGGCUCUCCAAGGAGGUGUGACAUCAUCAUCAUCAUCUCCGGCCGGAAGGAAAAGUGCGAGGCUGCCAAGGAAGCCCUGCAGGCACUGGUUCCUGUCACCAUGGAAGUAGAGGUGCCCUUUGACCUUCACCGUUACAUCAUUGGGCAGAAAGGAAGUGGGAUCCGCAAGGUGAUGGAUGAGUUUGAGGUGAACAUACACGUCCCAGCCCCCGAGCUGCAGUCUGACAUCAUCGCCAUCACGGGCCUCGCCGCAAAUUUGGACCGGGCCAAGGCUGGACUGCUGGAGCGUGUGAAGGAGCUGCAGACCGAGCAGGAGGACCGGGCUUUAAGGAGUUUUAAGCUGAGUGUCACUGUAGACCCCAUAUACCAUCCCAAGAUUAUCGGGGGCAGUGAUCACCCAAAUCCGGCUGGAGCACGACGUGAACAUCCAGUUCCCUGAUAAGGACGACAGGAGCCAGCCUCAGGACCAAAUUACCAUCACAGGGUACGAAAACAACAUAGAAGCUGCCAGGGACGCUAUAUUGAGAAUUGUGGGUGAACUUGAGCAGAUAGUUUCUGAGGACGUCCCGCUGGACCACCGUGUUCACGCCCCUAUCAUCGGGGCCCGCGGCAAAGCCAUUCGAAAAAUUAUGGACGAAUUCAAGGUGGACAUUCGCUUUCCACAGACCGGAGCCCCAGACCCCAACUUCGUCACUGUGACAGGGCUCCCAGAGAACGUGGAGGAAGCCAUUGACCACAUCCUCAACCUGGAGGAGGAAUACCUGGCCAACGUGGUGGACAGCGAGGCGCUGCAGGUGUACGUGAAACCCACGCAACAGGAGGAGGCCAGGGCGCGGUCCAGAGGCUUUGUGGUGCGGGACGCGCCCUAGACUGCCAGCAGCAGUGAGAAGCCUCCUGACAUGAGCAGCUCUGAGGAAUUUCCCAGCUUUGGGGCUCAGGUGGCCCCCCAAGACCCUCCCGUGGGGCCCCAAACGAUAAUGAUCAAAAAGCAGAAACCUCUCCAGCCUGCUGA